rnacentral:rRNA from 1 species
GAUGAACGCUAGCGGCAGGCUUAACACAUGCAAGUCGAGGGGCAGCGCGGGAUAGCAAUAUCCUGGCGGCGACCGGCGGAAGGGUGCGUAACGCGUGAGCGACAUGCCCGUUGCCCGGGGACAACCGGUGGAAACGCCGACUAAUCCCCGAUGGGAUAUUGUGCCGCAUGGCACGAUAUUGAAAGUUGCGGCGGCGACGGAUUGGCUCGCGUCCGAUUAGCUGGUUGGCGGGGUAACGGCCCACCAAGGCUGCGAUCGGUAGGGGUUCUGAGAGGAAGGCCCCCCACAAUGGGACUGAGACACGGCCCAUACUCCUACGGGAGGCAGCAGUGAGGAAUAUUGGUCAAUGGGCGGAAGCCUGAACCAGCCAUGCCGCGUGCGGGAAGGAGGCCCUAUGGGCUGUGAACCGCUUUUGCCUGGGGGCAAUAAGGGCGUCGCGCACGUCCGAUGAGAGUACCAGGCGAAUAAGCAUCGGCUAACUCCGUG